GAGUUUGAUCCUGGCUCAGAACGUACGCUGGCGGCACGCCUAACACAUGCAAGUCGAACGAAGUAGCAAUACUUAGUGGCAGACGGGUGAGUAACAUGUAGGUAUCUGCCCUUUGGCCUGGAAUAACACGAGGAAACUUGUGCUAAUACCGGAUAAGUCUUUACGGAGAAAGCUUUAUGCACCAUUGGAUGAGCCUGCACUUGAUUAGUUUGUUGGUAGGGUAAUGGCCUACCAAGACUAUGAUCAAUAGCUGAUUUGAGAGGAUGAUCAGCCACAUUGGGACUGAGACACGGCCCAAACUCCUACGGGAGGCAGCAGUGGGGAAUCUUGCACAAUGGAGGAAACUCUGAUGCAGCGAUGCCGCGUGAGUGAAGAAGGCCCUUGGGUUGUAAAGCUCUUUCGUCGGGGAAGAAAAUGACUGUACCCGAAUAAGAAGGUCCGGCUAACUUCGUGCCAGCAGCCGCGGUAAUACGAAGGGACCUAGCGUAGUUCGGAAUUACUGGGCUUAAAGAGUUCGUAGGUGGUUGAAAAAGUUGGUGGUGAAAUCCCAGAGCUUAACUCUGGAACUGCCAUCAAAACUUUUCAGCUAGAGUUUGAUAGAGGAAAGCAGAAUUUCUAGUGUAGAGGUGAAAUUCGUAGAUAUUAGAAAGAAUACCAAUUGCGAAGGCAGCUUUCUGGAUCAUUACUGACACUGAGGAACGAAAGCAUGGGUAGCGAAGAGGAUUAGAUACCCUCGUAGUCCAUGCCGUAAACGAUGUGUGUUAGACGUUGGAAAUUUAUUUUCAGUGUCGCAGCGAAAGCGAUAAACACACCGCCUGGGGAGUACGACCGCAAGGUUAAAACUCAAAUGAAUUGACGGGGACCCGCACAAGUAGUGGAGCAUGUGGUUUAAUUCGAAGAUACGCGCAGAACCUUACCAACACUUGACAUGUUCGUCGCGACUUUAAGAGAUUAAAGUUUUCGGUUCGGCCGGACGAAACACAGGUGCUGCAUGGCUGUCGUCAGCUCGUGUCGUGAGAUGUUGGGUUAAGUCCCGCAACGAGCGCAACCCUCACUUUUAGUUGCCAUCAUUUAGUUGGGCACUCUGAAAGAACUGCCAGUGAUAAGCUGGAGGAAGGUGGGGAUGACGUCAAGUCCUCAUGGCCCUUACGUGUUGGGCUACACACGUGCUACAAUGGUAUCUACAACAGGAAGCAAGACGGCGACGUUUAGCAAAUCCUUAAAAGAUACCUCAGUUCGGAUUGCACUCUGCAACUCGAGUGCAUGAAGCUGGAAUUACUAGUAAUCGUGGAUCAGCGUGCCACGGUGAAUGCGUUCCCGGGUCUUGUACACACCGCCCGUCACACCAUGGGAGUUGGUUCUACCUUAAGGCAAGGCUUUAAACCCUUGACCACGGUAUAGUCAGCGACUGGGGUGAAGUCGUAACAAGGUAACC
rnacentral:rRNA from 1 species